CUUGGUCAUUUAGAGGAAGUAAAAGUCGUAACAAGGUUUCCGUAGGUGAACCUGCGGAAGGAUCAUUACAGAGUUCAUGCCCUUCGGGGUAGAUCUCCCACCCUUGUGUAUUUAUACUUUGUUGCUUUGGCAGGCCGUUGGCUUAGGCUAACUAUCGGCUCCGGCUGGUAAGCGCCUGCCAGAGGACCCCAAACUCUGAAUAUUUAUGUCGUCUGAGUACUAUAUAAUAGUUAAAACUUUCAACAACGGAUCUCUUGGUUCUGGCAUCGAUGAAGAACGCAGCGAAAUGCGAUAAGUAAUGUGAAUUGCAGAAUUCAGUGAAUCAUCGAAUCUUUGAACGCACAUUGCGCCCCUUGGUAUUCCGGGGGGCAUGUCUGUUCGAGCGUCAUUUCAACCCUCAAGCUCUGCUUGGUAUUGGGCAUCAUCCUCUGUGGUGAGCCUUAAAUCAGUGGCGGUGCCAUCUGGCUCUAAGCGUAGUAAUUCUUCUCGCUAUUGAGUCCAAGUGGUUACUUGCCAGCAACCCCAAAUUUUUAUAAGGUUGACCUCGGAUCAGGUAGGGAUACCCGCUGAACUUAAGCAUAUCAAUAAGCGGAGGA
rnacentral:rRNA from 1 species